UAUUGGGCUGUACCUUGGCUUUGUUUGUUUUUCCGAGUCGGGGUAUUACAAAAAAAAGGUUCGGGAGGGAGGUGGGGGGGUUGUUACGUGUGUCAGAAUGCCCUGUGUUGUUGAGUUGUGUUCCGUCAAAGGCUUGUUUGGUUAGUGAACAUUAGUUCGAGUCCCCAGAGAACAUGUGCAUCCGAGGAGGAGACCACAGACGUGCUACUGCUCUGAUUACAUAUCAAUAAAGCACCAUUUAAAAGAGAGAGCGAAGGGAGAGAAGAGAAGGAGGGAGAGAGAGUCGUGCAUGGGUGGAGAGAGAGAGCGAGAUGGAGGCGGAUGGAGAGCAAGGUAAAAAGACGAGGCUUCUCUCGGCAGAAAUCCUCCACGAACGGAACAGACGAUGAUACAAGGACAACAGAGACGUAGAGAGAAAUGAGACCAAACCGAGCGAAGGCAGAAGAAGACGACAGGAACGAGUUAAAAUUCCCUCACUUCAUGAAGAAGUACUGCAGCAGGCAGGCGAUGAGGAUGGAGAAGCCGGCGAACACGCACACGAUCAGCGCCGCGAAGCGCUCGUCGCUGGAGAUCAGGCCCGCCCCUUUGCCCGUCUCCACGGGGCACAGCUCCCCGGACGACGCAGACUCCUGGCGCCGCAGCGUGAACAGAGAGGAGGGGCUCACUGGUCCGCACAGCUCCUGGCACGAGUCCUGGCAGCGGCGGCAGGCGCCCACGCGGAAUCGAUAGUCUGUGUUGCCCUGGAGACCAGAGAUUUGGAACACACCCUCUUCUCCUUUAAAAACCUGCGAGGGGAGGAAAAAAAUAUAAUGUUUCAGAGUUCUGCUCUAAUUGUACUUUUUAUUUUAAAAGUUUUAAAAGUUUCCUGUUUCUUUUAACUUCUCUUCUGUCUUCUUGUGUAUUUCAUUUGAAAUUCAUUUCUAUCCCAAUUUUUAAGCGGGUGGCUAAACGCCCAGUGCUUCAUUGUGUGUGAGGUAAUGGCAGAAAUGCCUGAUUCAAGGAUUCAUUGUCAUAUGCAACGGAAUUCUUAUUUCCCUGUGUCUCUGAAGAAGAAAAACAAAAAAAGGAAUACAGAGAUAAAAGGAGAAUCUAAGCAAUAAAAAAAGAAAUGCACGUUGAAAUCCACUCAUCAUCAUCCAUCCAUACAUACUGAGUUGGGCAGUAAUGACAGCGGUUAAAGGGAAUGUGCAUAAACAACACACCCAUCUUCUUUAUUCUGAUCUCAACUUCACACCUGUAGAGUUAGAGAAGGUGAAAACAAACCCAGCGAGAGACAGAAGUUCACAGAUGUUGUGUUUAGUUUCCCGGGGAAACGGCCUUGAGCCCAUUUUGUUCAUUUCUUCUUCAAAACUCUUGAGACUGUCUCAAAUAACAACAAUCACAUUAUGAUGCAAUGACGAGCUCAAGGACAGAAAAUCCUUUCUACUCUGUUGACAGUUCACCUUCUUUAUUAGCAGCAAGCGACACUGGGAUCGUUUUCACCUUGUGCAACUGUGGUUGUGUCAUCGUGACCGAAUGUAAAUCUGGAGACAGACUGUAGAGGUGGUUAUGAGUACUUUGGAAAUCAGGCGUAAUAAAAUACGCCCGUUUGUCUGCCUGCGGACAGAUUGUCACAACAACAUCACAACUUUUCAAAAUACAUUGAAAACACAGCCUCCAUUUUGUUCUGUAACUGCGAAAGAACAAGUGCAACAAUGUUGUGGUUCCAAACUUGUUCAAGAGAAAAAAAGGUGACGGAUGUAUUCCUUUUUUUUUUAGGGAUAAAUAUGAAACUUAUUGUUUGAGAGCUUGGAAUUGAUGAAACUAAGUUUUGAGGCUUUGCCUUUUUUGUUUUGUGAAAAAAAUAUAAUCUCUGCAAACAGUGUUUUGUAUUUUUUGUUUUCCAAACUGCAGCAUUCAAAUUCAAAUUUGUCUCUGUUGUCCAAGUGCAAUUUGUUUUCCAGGUGCUGAUAUAAAACCUGGUGCAAAAAAAAACUUCGAGUUCUGAAUUGUCAAACCUUUGUUUUGAAACUUUGCAGACCUGCACGAUUAUUACAGACGGCUUAAUUCUGAGUUGAGUUAAGAGCCAAUUUCUUAGAGA